rnacentral:lncRNA from 1 species
AGUAAUCUCGCACCCCACUAAAAGUGCCUCACAGUGAGAUGGAAUUUCCACUGAUUAGAUCUCUAACUGACCUUGUUGAGUAUGCUACAACAAGUCCAUAAGAAUUUAUCAAUUGCAGAGCACUCGACAAUAACGAGUUUGGUCCUUGUCCUUCUCGUUACAGUGAAAAUCAGCUAUUUUGGACCCAAACCCAAUCUAAUUGAAGAUCAGGUCGGGUCGGACUCAUGACUACAAUUUCUGAUCCAACAGGUCAUUCGGGUCGGGUCGGAUUCAUAUAUGAUCUGGACCCAAUCCAAAAAAAAUUUGGUCCGGUUUGGGUCCGGGUCGGAUUUGUUUGUUCGGGUCCAGUUCAUCAAAGGACUAUAUAAAAAAAAAACUCAUCAACAAUCUGACUCCUGAUAUAUGGAUAGAAUCAAGAAUUGUCCAAACUAAGGGGGCAAUCAUGUCCAUAAAACUUUCAUCACAAAGCAAAGCAAGAAGUAGUAUAACCAUGAAUCCUGCAAUGACAACAGGGGCAUAAGUUAGGAUCUAAGAGAUCGCAAUGAAAUUCUUGGUGCCUUUGAGGUUAGUGUGGACCAUGGAUUGGAGCUUGACUUCACCAAGAUAGAAGUGCACAAGACCUAAUAAAGUGGACAGGACAAAUCAAAAAGGAACCUAAUAAUAAUGUUUCGAACACCAACGGACAACUACAAGAUUCAAGUGAUAAAGCUCAAUGCGAUGACAGAUGAAUAGAGGAAGCAAGAGGCAACCUGAUAUAUUUCCCCAUUCCUGGUGGGAUUAGCCCCAUUACAAGGCCCAAUAAGCCAGUUUAAAAGGCCUUAGGCAAAGCCCUCACAUGGAGAGACAUACAAAUCCAAACAUUCAUUACAUGAGAAUGAGGGAGAGAGAGAUGUAAUCACACAAGAGUCUCUUACUCUUCAGUUCGCAAAGUCGCACCCCAACGUUGUCCGGACUUGAUAGAAAAUAGCUGCAAAAAAAUUUUCUUUUUCACUUAGAUAAUAGAUAUAUAGUAAACUAUGCAUAAAAAUUACAAUAUUCUUAACAAUAGAACCAUAAUAAUGAAGAUGAUUGUUACCUACAUAAGCUAAUCAUCAGUGCUAAUAACAAUAGCUGUUUCGUAAUCUUCAACCUUGUAAUUAGUAUGAGGAGGUGGGUCAUCUACAAAUGAAAAAAAUAUAAAAUUAAAAAUUGAAAAGUUUUAAAGCACUAGUAUAUGAUAAAGUUAGAGAUGUUCUAGAAAUUGAACCUGCAAGAUGAGGCAAGGUGUCUCGAAGCCAAUCUUGUGUGCAUAUCAAUGCCUCAACCAUAUCCGGGGAUAGGCUGCUACGGAAAUCAUCCAAAACCCUGCCAGUAGUGCUGAAGGCAGACUCAAAUGCAACGGUAGAAACAGGAAUUGCCAAGAUAUCACGUACCAUCCUAGACAAUAUUGGAUAUUUUGAUUCAUUGAAUCUCCAAUAGUCUAGAAUGUCAAAAUUUUGAUCCCCUAAUGAAUGAACCUGCUCAAAAAAAGUACAUUGCAAGUCAUUUUUAUUAGUAAUAUUGACUUAUAUUUUAAUGCAAGCAUCCAAAUUAAAAAUCAUAAAAUACCUUCUCUUCCAAAUACAUCUCUAUUUCUGACUUGAAAGGUUGGGCAACUUCUUUUUCUCGGAUAAAUUUUUUAUAGUCUUGCAAAAAAAAACUCUCAUCUCCUCUACCAUGAGAUGUAGACACCAUCGCCUCCACUUGAACAUGAGAGACAUUUGCACCAUAUAAAAUUGUAUAAUCAUCAUAAAGAUUUUGAAGAACAUCGUACACUUUCUUGAUUUCAAAUGAAGCACGAUCACCAUUACCAUAGAUUUUUUGAAAGCAAUACUUAAUAAGCUUCAUCUUAUAUCUUGGAUCAAGAACAACCCCUACGGCAAGAAUGUGAGAGCAUUGCUUCCAAUAUUUGUCAAAUUCUUCUUGCAUCUUUAAGGCCAUCAUUGUCACAACUGCAUUUGAACUCUUAGAUUCUUGAAUCAAUAGCAUAUGUAUUCUCCAAAUUUCAUAGAAAUACAAAUUUGUAGUUGGACUUUUUGUUUGUGAACAAAUUUUAGUUAUAUGAUGGAAAACUUUUAAAAAGUUACAAAUAAUAGUGCCUUGAGACCAAUCUUCCUCAGUUGGUGCAUCUUCAAAAUUAGAAUCCUGUGCCUCAAGUCGCAUAAACACAUCCUUGAAUUGUAUAGCAUCAUCUAACAUGAGAUAUGUAGAAUUCCAGUGAGUAGGUACAUCUAUGCAUAUCUUUUUCUUAUCAUUCAUCUUUAAUUGUUUCGCAAUUUCCAUAAAUGUUUCCAAUCUUGCUUGAGAUGAUUUUACAUAUUUAACAGCCUCACGGAUCCUAUGAAUAGCACCCUCCAUAAUCUUCAACCCGUCCUUCACAAUCAAAUUAAGAAUAUGUGCACAGCAACGCACAUGAAAGAACUUACCAUCCAAAAGUAAAUCUCUUCUAAAUUUUCUUUGAAGUUCCAUGGCUGCAAUUGUAUUUGCUGGCAAAUUAUCAACAGUGAUUGAACCCAACCUUUUCUCGAUAUUCCAAGAUAAAAUGCAGCUAGCUAUACAAUCACUAAUGACUAAGCCCGUAUGUGGUGAAGGAACCAUCUUAAAACUGAUAAUAUGCUUUUUAAGUUUCCAAUCAUUAGUGAUGUAAUGUGCAGUGAGACACAUAUAUCCUAAUGUCUGAUUUGAUGUCCACAUAUCGGAUGUUAAGCUGAUUCUUCCACAGUUUGCCUUAAACAAAUCAUCAAGUCUUCUUUUUCCUUUUCAUAUGCUUUAAAGCAAUCAGAUGCCAAUGUUGUCCUUGAAACAACAUGAAAUUCAGGUCUAAGGUCCCUAAUAAAUUUCUGAAAAGCUGGGUGCUCAACUGUUAUAAAUGGCAACUCCUGUAGAAUUAUCAUUCUUGCAAGAUCCUCACGGCUUCUCUCUUGAUCAAAUGAAUAGGGAGUCAACUCAUUCAAUACAACACCAUCUUUUGAAGCCACAUUACCUAUUAACUGUUUCUGCCUCCUAUCAAAACUUUUUUUGGACUUACAGUUCUUUGUGUGUCUGUGAAGAUGACUUGUCCCAUUUUUAAGAUUGGCUGAAAAAAUAAAAUGGCAAUAAUUGCAUUUGGCCUUGUCUUUUUGGUCUUCUACUUCACUAUAAUGAUUCCAUAUCUCUGACCUCCUUUUUUUGCUCGCUCGAAAGCUAUCUGUAUUAGAGGGCUUCAUAGCUUGAGAACUACUAGAGCAAAGUGUUCUUGAAACUUCAGCUGUGUUUUCAUUGCUACCCAUCACGGACAUUAACCUAUUUUCCACAUAAUUCAAUAAAACUGUAUAAGCAUGAAAUGCAAGUAAAUGAUUGAGAGCUUGUUUCAAUUAUGGAUCGCUACUCGAGUUUUACAACUUUUGGAAAGAUGAAUCUUUCUUUCCCAAAAAAGUUAAAUCAAAAGCAUCUUACACCAGAAAAUAGUUAAACAACUGCCCUAAUAACAUCUCAAAACAAGAUUCGGGAUGAAACUUAAAAGAAAAAGGAAAAAAACCAAGAACCAACAAGAACUGCUACAAUCCCAUGAAGAUCUAAAGAACUACUAAAUUCAUUAAAGAAGAUGAAAAAGAAAACAAAAGGGCAUCCAGUUUCAAUACCAUAUCCAAAUUUAAACAAGCUAAAUACGCAUCAAGAACCCUAGCAAACAAAACCAAGAACCCAUCAAGAUCCCGGUCAGUUCAACCUCACCUGUGGGGCAAUCGGCUGAAGCGGGCCUCAAGCUGGUCCUUGAAGUCGGGAUUGGAGACGGCCUCCCCAUUCCCGUUCCCCACCAACCGCGUGAAGAUUUUGUUCUCGAUGUCGUUCGCCGCGAUCCCUCCCCCACCGCCGAGACCGAGCCCUCUCGGCGGAGAUGAGCUCUCCCCGACCUCUUCGAUCGCCUCCUCCGCUCCUCCCUCCAUCCCGGCCGCCCGGAGAUCCACCUCCCGUCGCGGCGAGCCCAUCGGAUGGGAGCCCAGAGCUAUGGUCCCAACGACUGAAGCAAUGGCGAUAGCGAGGCGAGGGAAAAAAAGAGGAGCCUAUAGCCGUGAUAUAGGGGCGGGCCGGCGGGGUGGGUUGCGGUGGCGGUAGAAUGGUUCUUUUGGGGGAGCGAGUAGGGCGGGAGGCGAUCGAAAGAGCGCGAAACGUUGGAAUGAAACCUUUCUGGAAUCUUCGAGGGCAGAAAAAGAAAUAAACAAAGGAAGGUAAAAAGGUUCGGGUCCGGGGACUUGUAUCGAGAGGAAUCAGAGGGUAAGGUCCGGAAUUCCGGAUACACGAUUUAAGGGAGAGGAAUAUGUUAUACGGGAUCCGAUCGUUAUCCUGGAUAGCGGGAAGGAGUGUUGCCGAGUCCGGCCUCCAUUCUUGCAAAUGCGCACCGGCCGCCGAGGCACGCAUUUGAUUUGCAGAAAAAUAAAAUAAAAAAACAUCAUAAAAAUAUUUUUUAUAAAGUUAAUAUAUAAUAUCUAAAAAAUAACAUUUAUAUACUUAUUUAAUAUAAAAAAUAGCAUAUUAAUAAAUAGUUUAUAUUUAGUUAAGCAUCUAUUUUUUUAAAAAAAAAUAUAAAAUAUAUACUAUGCUAUUAUUAAAAAAAACUAAUCCUAUCCAAUCUAAAUGCUUAAGUUUAUUUUAGAAAAAAAUAUAUCUUAAUCUCUAAUUGGUAAAAAAUAAUUUUUUUCAUGUUCUAUAGGUUUUUUUCCCCAUUAAAUAUGAAAAAUUAAUGGUGGAAAAAUUAAUCAAAUAAACAAGGAUGAGACCCUUAUUAGCUCAAUUUUCUUUGGGGACCAGCUGGGAUAGAUUCACAUCCCUCUUAGAUGCAUCUAUACUGCCCUACUUGCACACUGCACAGGAUUUAUUUAUUGGAAUCUUAAGGAUCCAAGAAGAUAUAUCAUUUUUAUGCCUGCUGACAUCUAAAACCGUCAUUGCAUAGCUCCGAUUGAACCAUUUAUUGACCAUUUAGGACCAACUAGUUAGCCAAUCAUCUGGACGAGAUAAAUAGCAUAUAGUCUAAGUACUAUUCAACUGGUUUAGACACGUCAGGUACCACUUGUGUUGAAGAAUCUAAGUAUUAAUUUCCGGUGCCACCUGUGUUGCUCCCAUAACUGACAUUCAUACUUGAGGGCCCAUGUCUCCUCAUGAGCAUCUUCCUUCCUACAAACAACAAAAUUAUCAUCUGCCUCCAUAUGUCAAAGCCAAAGGUACUAAUAGGUUUGGUUUUGCAUGAAUGGAUCCUUUCUUUGUCUUGCUAUGAUAUAAUUCGCUUGCUGUGACAUCUUCAUUACAGAUGGCUGCAAAUUCUUGAGGAACAGAUCUCAGCAGUAGUAACACAGAGUUCUGAUUCAUGAGCAUUUUGAACCUAUGGUGCUGUCACAUAGCGGAACCAUAUUUUGCACUAAGAAGAGGACCAACAGUAGCAUAAUCAUAUUAGCAUCGUUUGCUUUCAUAAUUUAGUGCCAGUGUUUUGUAAAAUGAGAAUAACUGGGGCAAAAAUUUUAAGGUUGAAGUGUGCUAUAUUUAGUUAGAAUCAUUCGCGUUAAUAGUGAGAAGAGGCACAAAGAUGAGGUAUAACCAUUUGAGAUCAGGCAUGCGAACAUUAAGCACAAGAAGGAAUAGAGUAGCAAGGCAUGAUUUUAGGAUUGCAUUCAAAUUGAAGGACCAGAACAUAAAUUAACAGUCACUUUGAUACACACGACUACCCUUCUCUUUUGUCAGAAGCCUUCCCUCCCUGUGUACCAGUGAAUUUCUAUACCUUCAAGCUCUACCACCGCACGCUGCAACUGCCGAGCAUCUGCUGGCUCCCCAAAAUCAUUAACAUGUAGUAACAAAUCCAGUUAAUAUUUCAGCAGGCACUGCUGUUAUUUAAAAGCUCUCCAGUUCAAGAAGGUGGGUUCAUCUAAAAACAAGAGAACGUUGUUGAGGACGAUUGACAUUCAAAACCAACGAAAUGUGUAGUUCUGUCCAUUGCAACAUUAAAGCAAAAAUUCCAUAUCAUGUGUUUGAAAGAAGGAAAAAAAAUGCUGCCUCUGAUAAAUGUUAGAUAGCAUUUCUCAUACCGCCUUUCAUCCUGAAGAAGAAAGGUCUCUUAGCAACUUCUGUACGGAGUUACAAUAAGCAUAGAGAAAUAUCAGUCUGAAUUUUUUAAAACAAACUUCCAAUCAAAUAUCUUGGAUACAGAUAUUAUUGUAAUUAACACAAAAGAACAACAAUUCCCUAGGAGACAUGCAUUAGUAUACAUGAACUAUGCUUCACAUUGGCUGAAUUCCUUUUGGAGAUAUAGUCACAGGUAGCUGAAACUGUAGCUACAGAUGAUUAUGUCCUCACAUGAAGUCCAUCGAAUCACUCAGGGAGGGACCACUCAGAGACUGGCCAUUUGAAGAACUCUGAGAUGGAGAUUGAUGGUGAUGUUGAGCCUGAUGUCCGCUCAGGUGGGGCAACUGAUGUGAGUGAGAGAAAUAGGGUGGCACAGUCUGUUGAAGUCCUCCAUUGAAGCAAUUCCCGUUGAUGUUUGGAAGCUGUCCAGUUGCUAUCUUGAGCCGCUGCACUUCUUCCCUCAAAGCCUCAUUCAAAGCUGUACAAGAACCAAACACAAUCAGUAACAUAAAUGUAAUAGAAAUUCUCCAUAUUUAGCGUUGGUGUCUUCAAGUAGCAGAUAGCAAGUUGUUUUUCUGUCCAGAGCCCCUGCACCAAAUAACUGACCACAACCUGUGAAUCUGAGAACAAUAAACAAGAUUACGGCGUGAAAUUAUAACAAUCUUUCCAUUAUUCUACUGAACAUUUUGUGCACUAGAAUUAAGAUCUUGCACACUUUUUGCCAACUUACACCGCUACAAUUUUCAGUGGUUGGUAAAAGCAGACAGUUUUUUAAUUAGUCAAGCAAACACCACUGCAAUCCUAUCAAUUUUGUCAGAUUGAUAAAUGAAACCAAAGAUAAUGGACAACUUCGUGUUCAAUGUAGUUAAUCACCUAAUCCUUCUAAAUGUGGAGUUUACAGGAAGAGUUAAGGCGUCAUAUUAAACUAAAACUCAUUAUUACGUAUCAUGGGAAUUUUAUAAUCUAGUUGUCAAUGUGAUGGCAUAUUGAAAAUGCAAACACCAAAAUUUUAAGCUUAGAUCAGCAUAGAGGACAUUGAAAAUGCAUCAGAGACAUACCAUCACGAAGUUUUGCUUGUUGUUCCAUGGCCUGCAACCGCAACUUGAGUUCUCUGUUCUCUGUCGUCAAACCAGUGGUGUCUCUCUGGAAUAUUAUAUAAAUUGGAAAUUUCAUCGUUGCACUAAUGCUGAGUUAAGUAGUCGUGCAUAUGUCAAGGUAUCAAGGAAAGUUUAAAGGACAGUAAGAAAUACAAAUAAAAAAAGUAUACACUGCAGUUGGUCAUCUAUGCAGAAAUGUAAAUUGUUGAGUCUUACUGUAACAAGAAAGUAUUCCCGAUAAAAAUACUUUUGCAUAAGUUUUCAAUCUCAUAGGGAUAUAAAGUAACAUAAAUGAUAUUAUUUUUUGACCAUUCUGCCGUAUAUCCUGUCAUAUUUGGAAAAAGAUACAAGUACAAGAUCAGCCAAAAAAUGUCUGAAUCAAAAUGCCAAUGCCCUUAAAACUAAAUAGAUUAAAACCUUGCCUUUCCUUUUUAGUCAAGGCAAAACUUCCCAAGAUAGUAACGGUGGUGUUAUUGAUAAAUUACAUCUAAACAUAGGUAUGAUGAUGAACAAGAAACUAUCAAUAGAAAUCAGCAUUUGGAUUCGUGACUCUUCAACAGUACCCUGUUCUCCCAUUUUUCACUGUUCAAUCAUUAUUGAUAAAAAAUUAUCUUGGAGAAGCCUUCAAGAAAUGUCCCCAAUAUAAUUUACAAUGAGCCUGAAUCCUGAGUACGAUGUGCAUAAGAUGCAGUAACUGAGGGUUCAACAGUAUUACCUAUGGACCUGUUGAAGAUUUGGUCUACACACUUCCUAGACACUUUUCUCUACAAAAAAAAGACUCUUCUGGGCCUGUUUGGGUAAUCUAGAAGGAAAUCCAGCCCAAUCAUGCUAGAUUUGUGGAUUAGGCAGUCCAUUUGGGCACGGCCUGUAUCAAGCAAAUUCCUCCUAAUUCAUAUCCCCGGAGGGAGGAGUGGGGGCCGCAUCCCUUGCUAGAUUAUCCAAACAUGCCCUUAGUUUUCUAAAAAUACAAUCUUUAGCAUAGUUCUAUCUUCGAAUGAUUUUUUGUUUUGUAUUUUUUUUUGUCCAAAGUUACCUCUUUAGGAUUUGUCUAACAUUAUGCAAUCACUGCCGACAAAGCCUUUUGAUAAUUAAUAUCAAUGUUAUGAGGUUUGCAUUUCUAAAUGAUAUUUUGGCUCGUAACUUGUGCCAAUAAUGUGCGGCAAUGUGCGCAGUGCUGUUCGUGAGUAUGUAUCAACUGAAAAGCAUGAAUUUUGGUUUUCAGGUCCCUGACACUUCCUGUUGAUGGAAAUCAAAGCUUGCAUCUCCAAGUUUUUUUUUUCUUACAUGGACAUAAUAGGGAAAAAGAUCUCAUAUCCUUGUCCAAAUCAUUCCAAAUUUGCUUGCCACACCUUCUUUGCUUUCUCAAUUUAUCUUUUGAUCUGAUCAAACCUAACAUAGAUCUAAUCUUCCUCUUCCUUACCAUUGCCGAUCUCAUCAACUCUAUAACUAUAAUAGCAACUAAAGUUACCUAAGUAAUAAACAAACUUAAUGACAAUUCCUCCAAUCAUACCACCAAUCCAUUUUGUCGAAGCACCUUGACCAUAUUAUCUAUCACAAUUAAGCAGUAUUCUAAAAUAACAUUUUCACAACAUUCUUUGAGAACUCUCUUUGCCAACACUGGUUGGUAGGAUUACUCUAGCAAGAGCUUGGAAUCUCCCCAUGUCAUGGAUCCAAAUUUUCCAUUUUAGCUUCUUAACCGUUUGUCUUAGUUCAGUUCACGGUGCAUAUUCUCACAAGUGACGCAAUUUUAAGGCCAUGGCCUUUUAUUAUGCUCCUGCCUUGCUCUCAACUCUUCUACAGCUUUUCAAAGGAAAAGUGGCAGCAGUACCUUCCUACCCUCCCUGCCACUGUCAAAAAUAGAGAAUAGGCAUCAGAACCUACAUAUAUACUAUUAUAAAUAUGCAUACACAUACAUCAUGAUAGUAGAUUCUCAAAAGGUAAAGGAGUAAAAGGAAACAAAGGCACAGGUUGAUUGACUUCAAGUCCUUAAGAUGACAUAAUAGGUUGCAAGAGCUCCAAUUUGCAACAUUCACUAAUUAUACAGCUCAAACCAUAAGAAGGGAACAAUAUCAACCAUCUACCAUUAAGGCACUUAGCAAAUGCUCAAAAAAACUCUUAAAAAGUCUUAGCUUCUGUGAUAGGAAUCUUUGAAUUAGGUUCUCCUUGUACUUUCAGCAUUUUGCUUGGUUUGACGGUUGAAGUACCUGUACCAGCAUACUUCAAAAUUUGUCUUUUGGUAGAUAGUCCUAAAUGCUUCUUUUUCUUUAAGCACUCACCUUUCUUUAUCCAUACAAAUUUAUAAAACAUAAAUUUUCUUAAGACUAGUUCUCUUUUGACCAGAACUGCUAACAUCAAGCCCAUCUAUUCUUACUGUAGAUGCAACCAGUCCAUCUUGCAGCGAACAAACUUUGGAAUUCUUGAUUAGAUGAUAAGCAAAUUAGCUUCUAAAAUUUUUCCAAUAACCCCAAAGCCACUUUAAAAACAAGAUAAUAUGUCCUCAUAUGCCAUGUGAAUGUCCAUUCAUAUCCUGAAUCAAAAAGAUAACUUGCUAUACCACUGGUGCAUAUCAAACGCCAUAUUUUAUCCCGAGCCAAGUAAGAUAAAAGAACUAGGUACGUCAUUUAUUAGUAUCACAUCAAAGAUCCAAUUUACAUGAACUUUAGCUGCAAGCAUACCAUAACACAUGUUAGUGCUUAUUAUACAUUUAUGUGCCUAAACCCGCUUAUGAACCAUUCAUACCAAAUUAAAUAUUUCAUUAAUGUAAAUAUGCUUGACAUUAUUUGGACAUUUCUGGGUGAGGACUAUGUAAGUAAUCCCAACAAACACAUAUAGUCAUUAUUUAAAAUCUAAAAAUGAAUUUAAGGGCAAGAGUGGAAAUCUUUGCGAAGAACAGAUGCCAAUAUAACAAAAAGAACAUUAUAGAUAAUUUGAUUCUAUGUGCCUGCUCUUCUUUAUGUGUAUGUGCACGAGCCCCCACCGGCCCUAGUUUAAGCGUGUUUCGCUGAUCAGGUCAGUUUCAAUCAGCUCAAAAAUAUUCAGAUUAGAUUUCCUUAAAACUUCUGAUGCAAAAUAGAACUAUUAAUGAAGUACAAAAAAGAACUGGAAGUUGUCACGGCAUAUAUACCUUUCACUGCUACAAUGAUUUCAGAAAAAAACACAUUUUCUGAUCUGCUGACAUCAAACUACGGAAAAACACCAGGGCUACCAGCAAUAGAAGACCUUAGAGAAGGCAUGUGGAACACUAUACAGAAAAGUUUACAACUCAAGCUUCAAAACCGUAUCAUGCAGAAACCCCAGGAAUGGCCUAAGUUGUAAUACCAAAAACCAAAAACCAAUAUUCCACCUCCAACCAAUCCCAAUAUUAACAUUUGCAAUUCAGCAACUAUAAUUUCUAUAAAAAAUGAUAGCACCAUACAUAUACAACCAACAGCUAUCUAUUUAAAAGAAGGAACAAAAAAAAAAAGACAGCCUAUUUGAUGGUAACAUGUUUGUGUUUGCUUUUGCAAUCACUUAAGAGGGGUCUGCUUGCAUAAUCCAAAGUUGCAUUACAAUGUUAUCUAACACAAGAUGUAAAGAAACACGGAGCAUUAUGAGUUGCCAAAUUUGUAAGUGAUGACUGACACUAUGUAAGUAGAAAACUUAAGGUUUAGACUAGGUGCAUAUACAAGAAUGUAAUUAAGAAGACCCUGAUAGGAUGUGCAGUGUGGAAAUUUGCACCAACAUGUUGCAGAAAGAAGAUCAAAUGGCUAGCAAAACCAAAUGGUGUUAAAAACCACAGUCAAAUUGUAUGAAGAAUUCCAUACAAAACCAGGUAUCAACCAAGAACAAUACAUAUACAAUCUACUCGAGCAAUUAUGAGAUUACAUAAUUCUAAUGAUGCAAUGACAGCGUUCACCUCUUAACUAAUAAUUUUUAAGGGGGGAAAAAGCAUUGAGUUUGAUAGCUUAUUCUCAGAGCCACCUUGGCAAGGUCCAACAUAGAUAUACUUGGCACUUGCUAUAGAUACAAACAGAAUGAACUAUGAAUAAGCGAUUUAAAAUGUAGCAGAAUAAUAUCAGGUUGGAAUAUUGUAGCUGGCAGUAACAAUCAGGGCCGGCCCGAGCCCUAGGCGACUGAGGCGGUCGCCUAAGGCCCCGGGCCAAUGGAAGGCCCCCGGGAGGCUGACCAAAAGAAAGCAAAGGCCCCGAUCUGGGGNNNNNNNNNNNNNNNNNNNNNNNNNNNNNNNNNNNNNNNNNNNNNNNNNNNNNNNNNNNNNNNNNNNNNNNNNNNNNNNNNNNNNNNNNNNNNNNNNNNNNNNNNNNNNNNNNNNNNNNNNNNNNNNNNNNNNNNNNNNNNNNNNNNNNNNNNNNNNNNNNNNNNNNNNNNNNNNNNNNNNNNNNNNNNNNNNNNNNNNNNNNNNNNNNNNNNNNNNNNNNNNNNNNNNNNNNNNNNNNNNNNNNNNNNNNNNNNNNNNNNNNNNNNNNNNNNNNNNNNNNNNNNNNNNNNNNNNNNNNNNNNNNNNNNNNNNNNNNNNNNNNNNNNNNNNNNNNNNNNNNNNNNNNNNNNNNNNNNNNNNNNNNNNNNNNNNNNNNNNNNNNNNNNNNNNNNNNNNNNNNNNNNNNNNNNNNNNNNNNNNNNNNNNNNNNNNNNNNNNNNNNNNNNNNNNNNNNNNNNNNNNNNNNNNNNNNNNNNNNNNNNNNNNNNNNNNNNNNNNNNNNNNNNNNNNNNNNNNNNNNNNNNNNNNNNNNNNNNNNNNNNNNNNNNNNNNNNNNNNNNNNNNNNNNNNNNNNNNNNNNNNNNNNNNNNNNNNNNNNNNNNNNNNNNNNNNNNNNNUUUGUCUAUCUUUGUUAGAUUCAUGUAUCUUUGUUAAAAUAGUGUACUUGAUAGCUAUCUAUUUUUAUAUAUUUUUUAAUAUUUUAUAUUUAUUAAAAAAAUUACUAAAAAAAGGCCUCGUUCAUUGGAUUCGCCUUAGGCCCCAGAAUGUAUUGAGCCGCCCCUGGUAACAAUCUUGAUCAAAUGGAGAUCAAGUGAGAUGCAAACACAUCAUACAGGAAGCAAGCCUGACACUACUAAAUUAAUCAUUUUCUCAAGUGCCACAUUAAAAGAAUUUUGCUCAGAUAAACAUGAGAGUGGAAGAUGAUAAGCAAAACAAAAUGAUUUAUCAAAGUCUAAAUGAACAAUGAACUGUUGUAGCCAAUUUGACUCCUACCUGUAGAAGCGUUAGCUGUGCUGACAGAGAGGUUGCCUCUGUCUGAAGUGUCUGCACCUUCCGUUCAAGUUCGCUAGUGUACCGAAUCUUCCUCUCCUUUGAUCUGGCAGCAGAUUGCCUAUUUGCAAGAAUCCUAUAGAAGGUAAUCUUUACUUCAGAAAUAUAGUUUAGCAAUACUAUCACAGGAAUCAUACAGAAUAAGCAUGUCGAGUAAACAUAAAAAUAGCAUACGAGACUAGUCCACCCUAAAGUAUAGAUCCCCUUCAUUUUUCAGUACAUAACAUGCAAUCGACGUUCUUUUCAACCUCGUAAAGUGAGGUACAACAGAUGCUCACGCAAACUUCUUAUUUUUAAGGAACAAGAAGGAAACUGGAAGUAUGGAUUUUUGAAAACCAAGCAAGAGGCAAUAUCCAAAAGAAUAUAAGGAUAGCAUAUCUAAAUUUAACAGUUCUCCGAAAUCUCAUCUCAGAAAGAAGAGAACAUCGACAAAAAUACCAAAAAAGAGGACUUCUUGGGAGGACGAUAUCGACAAAAAAUCACAAAAAGGGGGGAUUCUGGCAAUGCGUAAAGCCGUUCACGUAUCAGAACAUUGGAAGCCCUCGACUUCGCAAACAUUCGUGUAGGAAAUUAAUUUAUAUAACAAAGAUAUACAAAAAUUUAGCAAACAAAACCCCUCAAAUACCCCAUCAAGUAAACCACGCUAGGAUAUUGCUCGAUAUUAAAGAAUCCCAAUGGCAAACUUGAUCCACAGAAUUCCCCAAUAUUAUAUCUAAAUGAUAAGGAUGGCAAGUCUCAAUUCGAAGUUAAUCGAUAAAUUACGACUCAUAAAACCCCCACAAAAUUCGAACUAAUCUGGAUACGAGUCCCAGAAUAGAAAUUCCCAAUAUCCUAACUUCAAGAAAUCUCGUGAAAUUCAAAGGUAGAAGAAAAGAAAGUAGAGAAAAUCAAGCCUUUUCGCCCUCUUGGGAUCGAUCAGGGCCAGCUCGGCGAGCUUAUCCGCCGCCAUCGCUUUCUUGGCGUAAUCCGACGACGACGAAGCCGACUGCCCCUCGAACGGCGAGGUGGCCCCGUCCAUUGAUCCGCUCCGUCGGUGAAGCCCCCUGCUAUCCUGUACCCCGUCACCGCCGCCGCCGCCGCCGCAUCCGCCAGCGGCCGGCGCCCCCUGGAACGCCAACCCCUCAAAGAACGCGGCAUCGACAGAGAGGCUCCUGAGGUGAGCACCUCCAGCAGCCCUCCCCGCCCUCCUCUGCUCCCCAGCCGGCGGAUCCGACCUCCUGGAUUCGACCGGCGGCGGGCCUCCUCCUGCAGCGACGGCGUCGCUGGCGGAGAGGCUGUCGUCGGAGAGUGAAGGGAAGUCGAUGUCGGAGAUGCCGAAGUCGGCGUCGGAGUCAAAGAGGAGGUCAUCUGGCAGGUGGAGGAAGGUCUCGGAGUGAGCGCGCCGGUGGCCGCCAGCGCCGCCGCCGACGCCGCGUGGGUUGGGGGGGAUCAGCCCGAAGCGGUGGUUGGAUGGAGGGAGUCCGGUCGGGUCCAUCGUAAGCGCCCACGGAACGAGCUGCGGCCGAGGGAGGAGGAGAAGAAGCAGGAGGAGGAGGAAGCGGUGGAGAUGAUGGGGUGGCGGUGACUUAUUACUCCACUGGUCGCGGUCAGUGGAUUCAGCAUGCUGUAAGUCUAAUGUUGCCAACUAUCGACCGUUUGAUUGGAAAUGGAUGGUGAUGUAUCAUGUAUCCGGAUGGGGCGACAUUAAAGAAGUGGUUCGGCACAACUCAUACGGUGAUCGAGGACAUGUACGUACGGAGAGUUCUAAAGAAGUGGUUCGCUUCCCCACGUAUUUCGAAACCGGGGCGUUAUUCUAACGGAUCCUCAACAAAACCGUUAUAUCCAACGGCCGUUAUUCACCCUGAAAUGCAUGGCUUGGAAUUUCUACUAUUUAAAUAACAACGAUUAUGAUAACGGCAGUUACAACCAACAAGAAAUGGCGGGCGAUAAUGAAAAAUAACAGCGUUAUUUAAAUGCCUUUAUAAAUAUUUCAUACCAUCAGAAAGGUCUGCAGGUGUGAAAUGCUGGGGGAAAGAACGGGCGUUCCGUAUGUGUGAAAUGCGAAGUCGAGGGCGUUCCGUAUGUUUGACUGUUUGUUAUUCUAUUGGUGGCAGGGUGGACCGGCAUGAUCCGCUGAUGUAAGGCUUGGAAACUUUUGAUCCCCUCUUCUGGGAAAAAAUUAUUGGUUGGCCCACAUGACCACAUCUAUUGGCUCGAUGGACCAGCACAACCACAAACCAACACACACAAAUCCAUCGCCAUCCCUCCAUUUUUUAUCUCUUUCUUUUAUUUUUCUCCACGUGUAUCAACAUUGGUUUGCAGUUGGAUUGAUCCACCAUUGUGCUAGUAGACUUAAUCCAAAAAAAAAAAAAUAGCGAUACACAUUAAACUGGUUUGCGGUUGGUAUUGUAACAACCGAAGAUCUGUAUUAUUUGGUUUCGGUACCUUCGCUUUUUCUAUGAUUAGAUUGGUCGGCAUUUGGGAAGUACUUGCUAUUGAGCGUAAAACAGCUUUCCAACAAUCUCUACACAUCUAACUCUAGCGUUUGCUUCCGAUGGGGAGCGAUAACCAAUAUUGGCCAGCGAGUAAGCUGCAUGAUUAUUGUUGCUGAAAACUGGACCCGAGGGUGACCACGGACUGAGGAGGAGGAGCUCCGGCAGGGGGCGGCGGUGGACAGCUUUCUUCGGAGGAUCUGCAAGAAGCUGGUGGCCGGAAGUUCCGGUGCCGAUCCUCCGAUACUUAAGUCAGAAGGAGAUUUUUGGUGGAGCCAGUAGAGAGGUUAAGUAAAAGAAAAGAUCUCUUUUUAGAAGGAAGAAGUCCCUUUUUUGUAAGAGGGGUGUAGGGGUUACCUGUGAUUGGACGUGACUAUGCGAAUUAAUGAGUUACCGUAAUGAUUAGACGUGAUCGCGUGAAUUAAUGAGUUGCCGUGGACGGUCCGAGAUUUUGGACUGGCUGGAGGUCCGUUGAGAUCGUGUACAUUUAAUCGUUGACAGUCGCUGGGGCGGAGAUCACAGGAUUGGACCCCGGACAAGGAGGAGGGGGACUUGAUUUUUGGUGGAUUGGAGGAGUCUGCUUCUUCCUUUGACUGGGUCUCCUUUAGGCUUAAGGUCGAUCGGGCUCAACUUAACCGAGAUUAAGACUGCAAGCUCUGAGGCCGGGCACGCUGAGGUUGGGCGUCUUAAGGUCGGGCGCCUUGAGAGUUGCCGCCGUCGCGCUCGCCAUCAAGUGCCGGCGAUAUAUCCACGUGUUUUGAGCAAUCCAUUUUUCUCCCAAACAAUUAUUUAUGAUAAUCAUGUGUAUACUACAUGUUGAUUUAUGAUAAGAUAAACGUAUUUCAUGUAUUUUACAUAUUAAUUGUUUUUCAACCGAAUCUCAAAACAGGUGGUUUCAAGAUAUUAUCUCAUCAUAUGUUAUUUCUUUUGAUUAUUUGUUAAAAUUUUUUUGACAUGAAUGUGAAAAUUGGCAUAGCAAUUUAUGUAUCUUGCACAGAUUUCAAUGCAUUUUUUUUUAAUCUGUUUCUGUUAUAGAUUUUGAAGUUAUGAUUAUGCGAUCCAGUAGUCGGCGUCACCAAAAAAUCAUGCAAAAGAUAUAACCCAGAUGUUUGAUAAACAAAGUUAAUUAUACUAAUACCAAUAUACCAUAUUGUAGAAAAAUAUCAUUUACAAGAUGCACCCGCGUCAAAUUGCUCGAGGGUCCCAUCUUUCCGGUCUACGUCUGCUGGUCUACUAGAGAACUGACACGUCAACAUCAGUAGGUGGCAAAGUUUAAAACCUGGACCAACCGGUCGUGGAAAAGUAUUCAAUGAGGGUCCCAAUUAGUCGGAGCAUUGUGAAGCACAAUAUAUCCUUGGUGACGGCAUCAUUGGUUCAGAAAGUCCAAUAAAAGUGGAUGAGUGAAUGCUACAAGAUUCCUUCUAUGUGUACGGAAGCAGCUUCACCAGUGAAUGUCCAUCAUAAUAUUUCUUCACACCCGCCCAGUAUUUUCAUGAACUACAGGACUGAUUUCUAUGUGGCCUGCAUUCCUGUUCAAUAAGCAAGUCUUGUACUAGGAUGGCUGAUAUUGCAUGGUCCAGAGAAUUUUCUUGCUUAUUGCCAUAUAUAUAUAUAAACAAACUUUUAUAUCUUAUGAUUCUUUCUCUAAAAACUUAAUCUUAUAAGCUACGGAUUGAGCGGCCGCUUAUAUGGCCAGCCAUAUGGAUAGUACCUUAUGGGCUGGAUAUGGAGAGCUACUUCGGGCACUUCAAGAUAUUCUGCUUUCUGACUUUAUUGGAUAUAUUUGUACUUGUCAGAAGAAAAAAAAAAUCUUGCACCCUUAAAGGAGAUUUCCACUUGCAAGGUUGAUUCGGGGCUAAGAAUGAGUUUGGAGAUCAAACUAUGUUCCUUGUAAGUUCGUUGCUGCAGCUUGAUGAUGUGAUCCAUUCGAAUCUGCUCCAAAUUUUAUUGGCAGAUGCGUAUGGUGUUUGUCAUCAUAGAUGAAGUUAGCUCAUUGCAUUCGGUCUCUAAUUAUGCGUUAGCUACUUUAAUUAUAAAAUGUUCUUAGCUGGAUGUGCCCAAAAAACCCAUCAAGCACUACGUUUGAGUUUGGCGAUCUCAAACUAUGCCUCAAGCAUCUUUAGCCUAACCAACAUAACCCAUAUUUUUUCAAAAAAGAAAGGAAAAAAUCAUGGAUGGACUGAGUAUAUAUGUGGGUUAGGAGGAGCUUAAGCCCAAAUUGAUCUGCGUUCCAUUUUCUAGUGUGCACCCUUCGCUUUUAUUGUACUUAUAACUGAAAAAAAAAGAUUAGGAGGGGAAAAAUAUAAAAUAAUUAUAACAUUGCUAUCAUUUGGUGGUCGCCCGUUUCAAAUCAAAGUCACUUCUCUCGUUUUCAGUAGCAAGUAUUCCAUUUCCAUCAUCAUCAUUGCAGGCGGCCUAAAUCACACAUUGGCUAUUAGAAUUCUCUUGUUUCAUUGCCUUAAAAAAUUAUCUAAAAUCCAAAUUAGAGAGUUGGAUUCAAUGAAUCCUGAUGGCUUUUCCAUCAUUUUACAUAGAAAAAAGAGGGUUGCGUUACAUGAUUGCUUACGGCAGUUUGAUGUUUUAAGUUUAGUGUAUAUCUGAUAGCAAGCAAAAUUCAAGUAUCCAAAUCAUUCAGAAAAAUUUUCUUAUCAGCAGAGGUUCUAUUUAUCAUUUGAGGUAACAACAACCUACAAGGCCACUGAUGAAAAAGAUGAGCAAUAAAACACCAACUGUAGAAAUGAAGAACCCAUAUCAAAAGAGAUGCUUAAGCCCAAUCAUCUCUUAUUCCCCCUCAUACCUAAGACAUUGGCAAUAGAGACUUGCAAAACCUAACCACAUCCAUAACGUCUCCCAAAGAUCGGGUUCGAUCAAUGCCCUGCGCACCGUGGUUGAACACGCCGUAAUCUGAGACCAAUUCGCAAUGUCGUCAAUUAAGCCGUGUCUGGUUAAGCCAUGUCACAGUGAACUCAAGUUAUUAUAAGUAUACCAUGAUGUUACAGUGAAAAUGCAUGUCUAGUUGGGUCAGGGCCUGGCUAUUGGGCUUGCAAGUUGCUGUUCCAAGAUGGGCCACAUCGGGCUGUAUAUAUUGUAAGCCCAAGCUCAGUCCAGUCCAAUAAAUAUUUAGAGUAGUCUAUUUAUAUCCCAACCCAACUUGCAAGUGUAGGGCCUUGAGUUGGGAAUCCGCUCACCCUUUUCCACAAUCUGGAAAAGAAGAAUAGCAGCGAAAUUUUCUAAAGAAGAACAUCCCAUGCAAACAAAGAAGCUGGCAAUAAUAACGAUUGAUUGUGAAGCGAUCUUCCUAAGACUUUAGGAGAAAGAGGAAAUGUUGACAAGGCCUUUCUUUGACCAAAAGAGCCUUCUUCUUUUUUUUUUCUUGCUAAUUAUAGCAACCUUGAACCUAGAGCCCAAAAUCCCACCUUUUCUUGACAAAGCCCGUCUUUGACCAAAUAUAGAUUUCCCCACCUUUUUUCUCCUCCUUUCUUCUUCUUCUAUUUUUUUUUCCCUUUUCUUUCUUUUUAGAUGUGAGAGACUACCUUAUAUCCAUCCCAUUCCAUCCCCACCAAAUUGGACCCCAUAUACCAAAGCAAGUCAAUCCACUCCUGGCAUGACUAGGAGGAAUUAUUUGGUGGAUUGGGUCCACGGUGGACCCAGGGUGAACUAAAUUCGCUUAAUAAUUUCACCUUAAGAUAAAAUAAAUCCACUAGAAUGAUUUUACCCUAGGUCCACGAUGGAUCUAGUCCACCUAAUAAUUUCUUUAGAACUAUGGCUCUUACUAUAAUCGGAGCUGAAGCAAAAGGGGGAAAACACGCACGCGCGCACACACGGAGGGCCUUAUAAGUUCUCUGAAGUAUUUUAGCUCAACAAUUCUAGUGGCGUGUCUUUGUUAUCAAAUUCAAGGAAGUAAUGGUCCCUAGGGAAUCACACCAUAUAUAUAUUGACAGAUAAGUUCUGAAAGCACUAUGGAGAGACCAUUGCAUGAGGGGAAAGGCCAUCAGUUUGUACUGCAAUUCCCCAACUUAUUACAAGAUAGCAUGGAAGUCAUAAAGGAUGAGAUCCAUCAAGAAGUGCAUGGUUAUGUUGCUACGACAGCUUAUCCAGUUAUUUUUAUAACAAUAUUACUAUACCUAAUCUAAUGGUGUAACAAGUAAAACUCAUCUAAUAUCAUGAAUGUGUUCUAGAGACCAUAAUGAGUACGAACCGAAAUAAACGUUGUUCAUUUUAUCCACAACUUUUUGAAUGUUCAAUCACAUAUAUGUACACCAACCAAAGUAAACACUAUCUUAACUUUUACCAUACUUCUCAAUGAGUCUUAGCCAGUUCAGCUAACAAACUGGCAUUCCUCUCCACCUAGAAGAGACCUAGGGUUCAAAUCUUUGUGUGUGUACGUGUAUUCAUAUAUGUCUAGGUGUGUGUUCAGAUGGAUUGAUGGUUAGAUAAGAGAGAUGAGGCUCUAGACUGCAAUGUUAAAUGGGUUGAGCUCAAGAAACACAGCAAUAUUGGACCUUUCAUGGCCCAAUAUUAUUACAUUAACCUAAUAUCAUCCUAACAUUUAUGCAGCUGUCCAGAGAAUUCUUUCAUGCUAAGUUUGCUACAUGGAGCGCGCACUCUUUUCCACUCAUAUAAGAUAAGGAGAGAUAACCAAUGUGGGAGAGACCUUGGCCCAAAAAAGAAGGAAGUAUGGGUGCCCAUCAUGGUCGAAUACUUGAGCACUAACCCAAUAGGAACAAAUCCCGGAUAUAGAUAAAUUUUGGUGGGUGGCAGUCGUGUGGAAUGCACCCUCCCUUCCAAUUUACUAAUGUUAUCUGUUCAUGCACUCUCUUGAAGAAGUGCUCAUCUAUUCAGCAAUCCAUGAACACUUAUUUGUAAGCUUAUAAACAAAUCAAGAAAGUCUUUUUGACAAAAAAAAAAAAGAUAAAAGGAAGGAAACAAUGAGAAUCGAUCCAUAUUCUUUUGGCUGGAAUCCGUAUAUUUUGUUUUGUUGUUUUGCCCAAAAGAUGUUGAGUAACUUGCUGCCCGAUCAUUUGUUUGUGGCAGAGGAAAAGGAGUUAUGGUCAAUUACUUCAUAUCAAUUUAGAAGGCCAGAAGAAUGCUAAAGCUAAUGCAUUAAUAUUAUUUUGAAUGAAAAUAGUAAUCCAAUGACGAUCUAGUCAUUAUUCAAAAAUGUUAUUUGAUUUGCUUUGCCAUUAGUGUGCUGCUCUCACGAUUAGCAUGCGACAUUUCUUAAUCGUGCCAGAAUUGUAUUCAGAAAGAAUCUGUUAUUUGGUGCAAUUCCAUAGCUGCAUGCAAUUCCACCUUUUGUUAACUCUACUAGAUUUUCUUUAAUGCAACAAUGUAAUGGUAUGGGUUCUAAGAGUUGUUAGUUCAUCAAUCUAUUUGCUCGAGUGUUUCCAGAUAAAGGAGUGAGGUUUGAGUGCUUUUAGUUAGGUAUCUAUUUAUGUGUUCAGUGAAAAACGAAUGAUGGAAAAUAAACCGAGCCAACCAGAAUGCUCUCACUUUCUCAUGUAUUAUCUCACCAGAUCUGCCGUGAAUUAUUUUUAAUAGAAAAUCCAUCUGCCACAAAUUAUAGUGGCAUUUUCCUUGAGAAUAUAUAUAUAUAUAUAUAUAUAUAUAUAUAUAUAUAUAUAUAUAUAUANNNNNNNNNNNNNNNNNNGUCCCUGAGAUUCUCUGCAUCUCUUUAAAUUGCAAAUCUUUUCAGAUUUUGCAAAUCCCAGAAGCAUAUCUAAAGGCUGAAAUCGAUAUAUAGCAUGUGAAGAAUUAAGAUAAACAUUUAAAGCUUCACCAAAUAAAAAAACAAUAAAUAUGAAAUUUUUUUGUGGCACCAAAAAUCUGAUGUGUAACUCUCUCGUCGAGCAACAGAAAGGAGUGGCAGAUCAGAUAUGUGACGUUUUUUACGUGAGCUUUUGUGUUCCUCUCGCAAUACUCGAAAUAUACGAAAGAGUGGCGAUUGUUAAAUGGCAGUCAAACGGAGGACUUGAUCUUAAGUUUCCCGAGCGUAUCUACAGUGUCCACCUACCAUUAUAUAACAUGAAUCCAGGGCGUGUGUUUUCCACACUCUCUCACCAUCUCCAACCCUCGUUACACCUCCAUUCUUCUUCCUUCUUUUCCUCAUGGCCCCCAACGACACCAAUGUGACAGUCGACAGCAUCGAGAGCCCCGAACCAAAGGGUAGUGAGGAGCCUGACUACUCACGGAGGGGACAGUGGCUACGAGCUGCCGUCCUCGGGGCCAGCGAUGGGCUGGUCUCCACUUCCUCGCUGAUGAUGGGAAUCGGGGCCGUGAAGGGCGAGUUGAAGGCGAUGGUGCUCACGGGCUUUGCAGGCCUCGUGGCCGGGGCAUGCAGCAUGGCUAUCGGGGAAUUCGUGUCGGUGUGUUCUCAGCUGGACGUCGAGGUGGCCCAGCGGAAGAGAGAGCAAAGAAUCGAGGGUGGAGGAGAGGUGGACGGGGAUGGGCUGCCGAGCCCGGUGCAGGCGGCCGUAGCCUCGUCCCUGGCGUUCGCGGUGGGGGCGGGGGUGCCACUGCUGGCAGCUGGGUUUAUAAGCAGCCAUAAGGUGAGGCUGGGGGUGGUGGCGGCAGCGGCGAGCGUGGCGUUGGUGGUGUUUGGGUGUGUCGGCGCGGCGCUUGGCCGGGCUCCGGUGGGGAGGUCUGCGGUGAGGGUGUUGGUCGGAGGGUGGAUGGCCAUGGCUGCGACCUAUGGACUCGUCAGGCUUUUUGGGUCCACUAGGUUGUAAAGACCAUUAGAGGAUUUUAUUUGCAGGGUGUAGGGGUGGCCUGCAUGCUGUAUUCUCAGAUCAGCCUCGGCCCUUUGGAUUGAACCCCCCUACCCCAAUACCAAAUGGCUUUGUUUCUGUUAAAAGUGCAUGGAAAGAAUAAUAUGCAUUCAAUUGCUUGCAUCUUCAUAUAUGCUAGCGUGAAAGAUUAUUUUAACUCGCAUCUUAGAGAUUAUAAAUUACACCGGAACAAAGUCUGGGAUCUCUUUAUAAUGGAAAAACAAAAGAGAGACAAAAAAAAUAUAAGUAAUGAAGCCCUGAAUAGCAGCCAUACAUAUCAUCCGUCUUGGAGAUAAAAAGUCUAUUCUUCAUCUUGAAAAUAUGAACAGGAUGGAUUCAGUAUGAUGCAUGAUAUGUUGUGAGAUAAAGAAGAGCCGUUCAUCUUCAAAAUGGAUGAUAUGGUGGCUAUUAUACUUAAAUAACAUAGAGCCGGAUGUGAUGAAAUAAAGCCAUACUGUUGUAUGGAAAAACUAGAAACAGAGACAGAGAUUUUACUCUUUUUUUUUUUUGGUAAAAUGAAGCGCUUUGCCACUAUAUACAGUGGAAGAUAGGUACACACCAAGAAGACCGAAGGUGGAAUACAAUUGUCACUGUCAAACAGGCUCUAACUUCAUGUGCACCAACAUUUAAAGGGUCUGUGGAAUCCACUCCGGACCCACGAGGUGCCCAUUUUGCCUCCUAACCAAACCAGUUUCCUUCUGACUUUGUGGAUUCCGUGCUAACUUUUCUCUUCCAAUCCUCCGCCUGCAAAAAAUUAUGAAUGGUGAUUUUGUUCAGAAGGAACGCUUGCUUGGAAAUUUCAAUGAGGAUGGUUAUCACUGGCAUUGAAGCAUGCAUCAUGGAACUCUAGCAGAUGCAGGGGAUUAAGUUUUUGGUGUUUCACAAGCCUCAUAGAUCUAGCAUGCCUAUUGUGCAAACAGCUGCUCUAAAGAUGCUGCAGUUUCCAAUAAUUGAGAUGCAUGGCCCUUGUAUUGCAAACAUUCGAACAUCAAAUAUUGGAGGUGUCACUCUUGGUUGUAACAAAUAACCCGUUUAAAUCCUACUUUUAUCAGGAUUGAUCAAGUCAAGGGCCGGUUACAGUGGGCAACUCCAUUGUGCAAACCAUUAGCCAUGGACAUCUUUCUACAAAAUAAACAAAAAGUAAAACAACAAAAAUAAUAAAAUCAUCUAGCAGCCAUGGCUCUCCUAUUUAGCCUAGUUUAUACUAGAUUCGAAAGGAUUUGGCUAUGUCCUCGUUUGGUGAUUGGUCAUAUUUCUCAGAGAAAAAAAGUAAUAUUUCUUAAGAAUUUGAUCCUAGAUGUCAUAGAAGGUACCUCAUAAAACUCGCAAAUCUGAAAGUUCUCGGCUUAAUCUUAUUUAAUGAGAAAUUUCUUGUAUACCAGAACUUUGCAGAAGAAAUAGCCCAAGUGCUCCUAAUGUUAUAGAAAUCGAUUUAUAAAUGGGAUGAUCCCGGCUAUAGUUUUCUUUUUGUAAAUCUGCCCAACCAACAAACCGCUAUGUCAAUGACAAUGUCAUGAAUAACUCCAUUAUAUUAGAUAAGCAACUCAAAAUAACUAAAAAUAACAGUAUAUCAAAGGUAUCAAGUCAUAGCUAUAAAAAUGUGCAACCAAGCUACUGACUUUGAAUUACAGUUGUCAGCACAAGAAAAUAAUCAGCGCAAUGAGCAACCCUGUCAUGAACUAAUGAAGUAUGAAGAAAAAUAUACAUCAGUUCUGUUAUAUAUGUACUUUCAGGAAACAGCACCAGUACCUCAAUUUGUAUACUAAGAUUCUACUUCCGUAGUAAAAUGAAAUACUGUAUAUAUGUACAUGAAGGAAUCAAGAUGGUUAGGUUAGUAUUAUGAAGAACCUCCACAUGCAGGUUUGUCCUUAUGGCUGUCACCCAAUGAUUUAGAUCCACCUUUUUUAAGUAACCAUUCUUUCAUCUCCUUGUAAAUCCUCAGCUCUUCUAGUGCAUCUGCUGUAGUCCUUGGCUUGAAUAGCCCUGAAGCUGUAAUUCCUGAAUUUGAAGCAGGGCUUUCAGAUCUUUCCACCUCAGCUUCCAUGCAUUCGUUAUGCUGGAGCCUCGGGUUCCAAAAGUCCCCUCUGAAGACUUGGGAAGACCUGACCGACUUGGAAAGAUCUUGCCGCAAAGGUGGGGCAGUCUUAAGCAUUUGCACAAGCGCACCUACGGCAGCAUCUGGAGACCUUUGGACUGGUACCAGGCCUCUGGAUUCCGAAUUCUCGUUGAUUUGAUCUUUGCCUUCAGAAAGUUUCACCCUAGAAGAGGAAAAGUUGAAAAGUUUCAGACUGCAUAUAGAGAAGUGUUCAUGCAUGCAAUUUAUAGGUUGCCUUUGAAUGUGCAAUUUGUGCAUUAAGUCUCAUCAACAUCUGGAGUUUUUACACCAAAUUUUCAUUAAUAAAACCACUUGGCGAGGAGAAUGUUCCCAUCAAAAUACCACCAAAUAAGGUGACGAUGUGCAGGGGGAGGGGAAAGGUGGGUGUGGCUGGAGAAUACUGUUCCCCCCUUCCUAUCUUAUACAAGAAAUACGCUUGCACUGGGUUUCAAUGUCAGAGACGGAGGAAACAAACAUCCUGGAUGCAUAAUAUUUGAGGUUAAAAAAUAUCUUAUAUGUGUGAAAAAUAGUUCUUCAACAUUGCUACAUCAAACUUCAAAAAGCGAUAUCAAUCUUAACAUCCUUCUUCAUGCUUUAUACGAUAAUCAGAUGAGUUAUCCCAUGGUUAUCAUAGGAUAGGUUGAGUAAGACUUAUACAAGUAGAUAUUUACAUCUUCUAAAUAUAUAUAAAUUUAUAUAAGGAGGUUCAAUCAGGGUCGGCGGAACCGUCCCGGUCCCGAACCAGGCGGUUUCGGUCGUACCGAGCCGUCCCGGCGGCAGACUGAGACGAUUCCGGCAAUGGAAACGAAACCCGUCGCUGGAGGGAGAAAAAAAGAGAAGAAAAGAGACACCAAGUGGAGGAGGGAGGGAGAGGAAGAGGAAGGAAGAGAGAGGGAGGCGAAGGCCAGCAAGCUGCUCAGAGGCCAGCGAGCCGCGCGGAGGAGGCUUCUCUAAGGCUCCGCAGCUGGACCUCUAUUCAAAAUGGGGGUCCGGCCAUGGAGCCCUCCUCCGCCUCCUCUGCCCAGGUCGCCGGCCUUCGCCACCCUCCUCUCUCCCUCCCUCUCUCCCCAUUCUCUCUCUCCCCCCUUUCCUCUCUCUCAUUUGCUCUCUCCUCCGCCUCCUCUACUGUGUCGGUACGAGGACGGCACGAAACGGUAUAGGGGCGUACCAUUUUGUGCCGCCGAGCAACCGGUCUGAGCCCCGAUUCCGACACAGUAGACCUUGGGUUCAACUGUUGAAGUUAUGUUCUUUCUUAGACAAUAUAUCACGAGAUUAGAAAAAAUGCAUUGAUUUAUAGAAAACUUUAAACCAUAAGAGUUAUUUAGUGAAUGUUCCAAAGCAAUGCUUCUCCAAUAAGAAUAAUGAUAACAGGAAGCAUGAUGAAUGUGGAAAAAAAAGCUGGAACAUAUCAAAUAGGUCAAGCCAAUCUGGCAUACAAAUUAAAUUUCUGCAACUAAAACCCUCAAUUUAUCCAUGCUGUACAGGCUCAUAUAUCUCUCCACCAAAUUCACUGAGAUCUGAUUCUAUCAAUUCACUCUUCACAUCUCUCUCCUUUUUCCAUAUAACAUACUUGAAAUAAGAAGAAGAGAUCAGAAUGUUGUUUCUUUUAGCUAUUAAUUUUAACAAUGGUCAAGUAGAACAUACAGAUUUAGUGGAAUGCACAAAGAAAGGACAAUUUAGUGGAAUGCACAAAGAAAGGACAGAGACUGAUUUUGCAGAGGGCCAUGCUUUUGCAUGCAACAAUUAAUUCUUAAAUUGAAAAAGGGAUCUUAAAAUAAGGAGCCCAUCAAUAAGGGAGAGUAUUGAUAAGUGUGCCCCCCCAACCCCCCAGCAAAAAACAAAAGGCUGAAGAUUCCUGAUUCCCGCCAUGUGGAGACACGAAAAUAUUGGAUAAUGAAAAGAGACAGAUAUGCAUGAUAAACUUCACACACAGAAGAAUAUUCAGAUGAAUACAUGGUAGACUAGGAAGGUCAAAGUUACAUGGUGAGUUAAGGAAAAAGGAGGGUCAACCAGGGUAAAGUUUGACAUAACCUGGAAAAAGUUGUAAAAGAUGUCUGGGAGGUGUUAUUCAAGCAGAUUAAUCCAUGUGACUUGAAUGGACAAAAACAACUCAGAGAGCCGACCAAUCAUGAAAAAAAAGAAAAAUCUUGUUCAUAGUCUUGGUUACAGUUCCUACAUGAAUGACAGACCUCACCAGACCUAACUGUAGUACCUAUCAGUAUAAGCUAAAAACCAACCAAUGAUCCAGAACUAGAGGUAGAGAGUUAAUGCUGUAAUUUUGGUCAUUGAUCAUUUUUGAGUAGUAGGUAAAUAAAUAAUAUAAGAAGCUUGUCUUUUUUGUGAGAAAAUAUUUACCCAUGAUACUGCUAAUGUAAUAUGGAUAAUAAUAACAAGAAAAGUUCCUCGCCAGCAAUGAUUAAUAUGUAUUAUUAAGUAUGAAUAUGUUUUCUUGCACUGUCAUGUCAUAUUGUUAUAGGUGUUCCUUCUCAAAUCAUAAUGAAACAAUGCACAACAGUGAUGCAACAUUGUUCCAACCAUUCGGUUUAUUUUUCCCAAAGUGCUGUAACUAGGUGCAGUUUGAGUACCCUGUUGUUUUUAUAUAAAUCAGUUGUGGAGGAGCUCAAACAGUCGAAUAUAGGAUUCCAUAGUUAUGACUAUUACAAGCGCAUUAUCAGAAGAAACAUACUCAGCAAAGAAAAGAGAACAGGAAAAGCAACAGCAAUUUAUUAGUGCUUUGGUCCUAACAAGUUCUGAUUUGGUAAGUCUCAGCAUUAUCAUAUCAAAAAUAAGGUUUCAGAACGAAAAUAAACAUCACACAAACCCACCCGAGAUAAACAUUAGCUUUACUCGAAAGCAUAUUUAAUCUUCCAGUCAUCUAACGGAAAGAGAACCACAAAAUGUGAAAUAAGGUGUUUGAUUGUAGCCACUUAGUAUAAUGAUUAAUUACAUUAAAAGAAAAACCUGUCUUGGUACUCCACAAAGUGAAAUAUAAACAGCGGUCUCUUAUUUGAAAUUCCAUAGUUCAUACAAUAUCAAUUGAUGUACGGUGUUGUGGACCUUCGAAGCAUAUCAGUAUUAGAAUUAUCUAUAAUGUCUCUGCCUCAUUCUUAUCCUCAACAAAUUAGGUAAUCUAAUGCAAGAAUAUACUGGAGAACAAUUUGCAGAAAAGUGAAAUAUGUCCCUAGACAUCAUUCAUAUAUGUGAAAAUAAAAAAGAAAUGAAAUCUAGAGAGGAAUUCCAUUUUUGUGGGGCUGGCCAAGGAAUGGAAUCAAUCAAGCAACAGAUCCAUUAAAGGACUGAUGGUGUCUGUGUCCCAAUAUUUGAAGGGAAUUCAUGCUAUACAAAUUGUGUUUUCUCCUAUACUCUUUUCUUUUUGCAUCUUCUGUCAGAACUUUCAUUCCAAAGCUUAAGAGAAUUGAGGACGUGUAAAACUAGAUUCAAGGUUGUCCGCUUUCACAUCAGUGUUUUAAUCAAGCAAAUUUCUUUCAACUCGAUGGAAUUCAGACUCUACGCGGCUUACCACCAUUCUGUUUCAGGUAGAAAACCAAGUAACCGGAAUCCUCUACCUAGGGCAGCCGAAUCUUCCUGGAAUUUCGGCCCCAAGACCCGCUUCCUAAGUGCUUCCUUACUAAAAGCAUUUCUGAUGUAUUUGCUUCCCCGUACCAAGCCCAUAGCCGCUCCUGAUUCGACCACGGUCUAAAAUAAUAUAAUUUAAUAUUUUCCCUUGCUUUGAGGUCCAGACAAUUACCUGGACUUGUGCUUUAACUAUCCCACACCAAGCUAAGUGGGCUUAAAAGUUUUUGUAUAGAGUUAAUAAACAUCAUAUUCACAAGGUUGAUGGUGUAUGAUUUCUAAUUUAUGGCUACUGCCAAAUAAUUCAUUUUCACCGAGCAUCUAAAUUUUCAAGCUGAUUGCGGUAGUAUGAAUAAUUUGGUCAUCAAAAUACAUAAUUAACAUGCUUGUGGCUUUUUGACUAGUAAAGUUCAAAUUAAUGCACAUAAACAGUUAGGAUUUCAAAGAGUAUAUUGGUAGCCCUACUAUGAUGGAUCAUACUGCGGGGUCUGAAUCACAUGCAAGUCAAGCUAAUGGAAUGUCCUAAGCUAAUAGAGGGAAUUAGACGGUAUCUUAUGAUCACAUACUAAUCAUGAUCAUGAGAUCUAUGGUUAAGGUAACUGCCAACCAAGUGGUCCUGGCCAACCAUGUGCAGAUUAAUCUGGCUGAGAGACCACAGAUUGAACAAACAGUGCAUAAUAACAAGUAUAGUUUGUAUAUAACAUAACCUGCACUUGCACUUAUAAAGAGAUCAGAACUUCACCAGAAUGCAGCAUGAUGGAUGCAAUGAAUAUUUGCACAAAAUAUGAUUUAAUUCCAUAUUUUCCGAAUUCAAAAAAAAAAAAUAUUUGCACUACAUUUUGAAGGGAAAAUAACAGACAGAAAGCCUCAUGGCACAUAUGUUUCGCAUGAUAUUGGAAGAAAUAAAUUAUUUUUGACAACAAAUUUCCAAGCAGCAUGUUGCAACAUCCAGAAAAGCUGAAAUUGGAUCACUGAUAUGCAAAGACACAGGUUUGCCAACCAUACACAUGUCACGAGCGUAUUAUCCAUCCAGUGAAGAACCAAAGCAAGAAACAGCCUCUCACCUCAGCAAGAAUAAUUAUAUGUUCUAUAAAAUCAAUUGAAUCAUAGCUAAGCAGAAACAAAACAAGCAUGUAGUCUAGCUUGAUAAAUGCAAUGUUUACAAUGAUGUACAGAAAAUAAAACACAUUUCUGCACAUAUUUAAAACAUCGAAUGAUAGGUCACAUUAGCAACAAAAAUUCCAGCAAUGGAACAGUACCUGUUGCAUGACUCUGUUAUAUCUUCAUCAUCAGCAAAUGGACAAGCAAAUUCUGAAUCAUCAAACUCGUCCAGGAGAGACAACCUACUAGAACUUGUCGAAAAUGGGAUGUGCGGCGAACUGCACUUUAGUCCAGGUAAACUUCCAACUUCAUCUUUCCCAAAAGAUAAUGCCUGUAACUGAAACAUCAGAACUUGAUUUGAGAGCCAAUACUAAGAUUGCAAUUUUUUGCUUCCAAUUAUGUAUUCAAUAGUCCUAAAACUGAAUUCCCGGGCUAAGGUGAAACAUAAGGUAUUACCUUUGCCAGAGAUAUGACAGUCUCAAAGUCCCCCGACCUUAAUGGUUCCUUCUUGGUUCGUAGCUUACCUUCAGGGGAACAAGUCUGAGAUGCAGAGGGAGUGGUAAUUUGAGCUCUGAGAGUAUCAGUGCGAGGAGAACACCCAGGUCUUUGAGGCUUAGGAGAAGAUGGAGGCAGGGCCUGGUUAAGUAAGCCACUAUUUCUUCCACGCCUAGGUGAAGGAAUGUUGACCGGAGCACUCUCAGAGCGUAAGAGAGCAUUUGGGGUUGGUGCAGAAGGGGAAGACAUAGGCGAAAAUGGAGAAGAUGACAAGUAAUCUUCACAACUUGUAUUUUUCUUAUGAGCUACUGAAGCAUUGUGCAGUACUGAGCUUGCAGAAGGAGACUGAUCAUGCAGGUGAUGAGGAGGAAAACGUACAUUUGGAUCACAAUGCAUAGCUUGAGAAUCAGAGUAUGUUGGUGAUGGAGAGGGAGAUCCUGAACGCAUGAAUCCAUGGUCAUUGCUCCAACUAUGUUGCCUAGUAAUUGAGACAAAAUGAGGCAGUGGUCCUGCUGACCGGACAGACUGGAACAUCUUAAGAGGAUCGGUUGUUGGACCACCAACAUAAUCCAUUAUAAACUGUGUAGACAAGGGUGUGGAAGGCUCCGAACUCUUGUCUUCCAAUGCUGGGAGGUAUGAGACUGUCAGACUCAGCCUGCCACAUGGGGUGUCAAUUGGCACAAAACUGAAUUGGUUCAUUUCAGCAUCCUCUGCCCGAGUGAAAGGCUCGACGAAAGGAGUGAUCCUGUGGGAAAGGCUAAGCGGGCAGAUUCUGCCAGAAGAAUUGAGCUCCUGAAAAAUUUUAUAAGCAGGUAACAACUUGACAAACACAUACAAGGACCGGAGCAUUACGAUCGUUCUCUUGUAUGUUUUCUUGUACAGAGUUGGGAUUUCAGAAGAGUGAGAAGACGCAGCGGUGCUUUUCCUACUACCCGAGUACACUUCCCUUCCAAAGCAGCUUUCCUUUCGACUCUCAUACUGUAUAACCCAUCUCUCUAUGGUCUUGUCGCUUUUAGUUUCGAGUUCCUCCAUCCUGGGGCUCAUUGGAAACCUAUCCUUCCCUGAGAAAUUCCGCAGUAGGCACCCACCAGGAGACAGGCGGGUCGCAUUGGAGGCCGAUGACCGGUGGACCAAGAGCACAUCAAUGACCAAUGGCUCAAGAAUGCUCUUCCGCCAGAGGUCAAAAUUCUCAAGUGCCGCCGGGCAGUCCCGUAAAGCCAAAUUGAACCACUUAUCCCUUGGUCGGCUGCUUGAUGAGGAGGAAGAGGAGGAAGGCGACGAAAUGAAAUGGUCCACACUAUGAUUACGAGAGGAGGCGUAAGGGGACCUCGACUCGAGUAUGAUAUGAAGGCUCUUGGCAAAGAAUUCGGUGAUCACUUGCUCGAUUAUCGGAGGUUCGGAGUAGGAGUUGCAUGGAGACGAAGCCAUAUCUUACCGGAGAUUUAAAAGCAGCUUCGAAUCUGUGAACUCUAAAAAUUUCAAAUUUUAUCCCUUUGGAGACCAGGAAUUCGAUCAUCCCGAGUUGAAACAGAAUGCAAAGUUGAUACUUCAACUAAUUAUUGAGUUCCUGCAGCGAGAAAUCAAAAGAAAAGUGUAGUGGCAUGGAUUUUUCAUGAUUAUCAGUUUAAAAGUCUAGGGUUUUAGAAGGAACCACGCUGCUGGUUUUGCAAUAGAAGCUAGUGUCCCAAAAAAAAACCGAAAAAACAACUCAAAUCAAACCCUUUGAAGUAUGAACAACCAAUUAAAAAGGAACAGAGCACGCGAAUUUGAUCAAGCGACAAGAAAGAAUUCAAAGAGAAAGCAUUAGAGAACCCUAACAUCAGCGAAAAGGAUCCAAAAAAAAGACGGAUUCAGGAGCUAAUUAGCAACCAAUUCAAGAAAACUUCAGUUAUCUCGAAGGCGAAAAGAUCCAGAGAAAAGGCCUACCUUGAGGAAACUCUAUACGGUUCGGUGUUUGAAAACUCGGAGCCGUUGGGAUCGAGGGCUUUAUAAAUAUAUUUCCCUUUUUUACCAAAAUUGGGAAACUCUAGCUUGACGGAUUUGGGCGCAAAAGGCGGAGGCGAGCUCCGACGAUGACGGAUAUGCCACGGGCUAUUUAUACGAAUUACGGAUGAGCCCUGGCGAUUCGGAGGAGAGGGAGGAGGGAGACAGAGAAAAGGGUGCGAACAGACUUGAGUGUUCGCUUGGGGUUUUGAGUUUAUUAAUGUUGACAUAAUCCAGUUGAUUAAGUCUUUUAUUUAUUUUAUUUAUUUAUUUAUUUGUUGCUAGAGCAGGCUAUUCAUAUUUGACGAGUACGAAUGCAUCCAAUAAAAUCAAAAAACAAAAUAUCUCGCAAUAUCCAAGGCAGCUCUUCAUCCGAGCCCCAAGGUACUAACAUAUGGCUGGCUGCAUAAGCGGCCACCGAGUCCACAGUCCCAUUAGCUUCUUGGAAUAUAUGCUUGGCCGAAAAGGCCUCUUCAUCCCUCGUCAUUGUCCAAAUAUCUCGAAGUAAUAGUGGUCGCGGCCAGCACCCCUUUGGAUCCAACUGAUAAUCGUCGUCGAGUCACACUUCAGGAUAACUGGACUGGGUCUUUUAGUUAAUUAGCGUGAUAUUGUGAUAGAAAAAUCAAAUUUAUAAAUUGCAUUUCCAUUAAAUAGUAUAAAGGAUUUAUUUUGAUCUAUAAUUAGUAUGUGACUAUACAUAGAUAAACCAUUUAAAAUUUGGUAUACAUGCGCUUAUCUUCAAAGCAUGCAAAACUAGACAAUCUAUGUGGAUAGCCGGUUGGGAUAACUUAAAGUGCCUUUGGACCCAAAAAUAAAAGGAAAAAAAUUAAUUUUUUGAGAUCUAGGAGGAUGGAGUUAGAAUUGGACCCUAAAUUAGAAUCCAAGCCCUCCAUGUGUAUCACAAAAGAAGCUUUUCUAGAACGUUAUUGGAGAACACAACAACAAUGAAACGAUACUGUUGUCCAACCUAUGAAAUUUGUUGAAAGACCACUUUUGUUUAUUAAGCAAUGAUUUUUUUUCUUUUAGGAUUCUAGUGAAUAUCCUUCAACAUCAUCACUCUUUUUUAUUGAGGCGAAGUUCAUUAUAGAGUACAACUUAGAACGACAAUGAAAUAUAGUUGAGCAAAAUAUAUUGAAUUAGAUAUAUUUUUCUUCAGUUUAGAUUAGACAAAAGAUAUGGAAGGUCCAGCCUUACCAAUUAGCAAUCUCGUUUAUGAAAAAAGUUUUGCCAAUAUCAUCAUCAAGCUAUACUCACUCUUAGUUUUAUUUAUUUAUUUAUUUUAGCAAAAGAGACUCCUAAACAGUGAAUUAUGUAACAAGCUAGCGGUUCCUUAAUUAUCUCUAUCCUCUAAACUCUAAUAAAGGUGGGAUUUCAGCUAGGUUUCUAAUUUGACAAUAAAAAUAUAUUUGGUUACUAGUCAAAUGAUGCAUAAGGGGAAGUUAUCAAUUUAACCCACCAAACAUCAACAAAAAAGUGGUUGAUAAAAUUAUUCAAUCAAAGAGUGAAAAAGGUACUUAACUUAGGUACUUUAUUUCAUGGGGGAGAUUAAAAUAGAGUUAACGAUGCUUGAAACCCCUCUAGCCCCUAUUUUUCCUUCUGUUUUUACCCCUAGGAGCUAUUUUUAUCAUUAGCUUUCACUAUCUCUUACUUUUCCCUUCAUUAAGUGCUUAAUUAGUUACGGGAUGGUUGCAAAGGGUCAAAUCUAUUCACCCCUUCGUUAGCUAUUUGGCAUGGAAACAUUAACUUUACUGGCUUAGUAAGUCAAUACUUUCUAGAACUUAGUUUUGUUGUCACUAUUUAACUUCUAUUCAUUGGCUCUUAAAUAAUUUUUUCUAGAUAUACAUCAACCGAGGGACCUACCUUUGACUCAAUACAUUAGAAUUGGUAGGUAAGUAAAGUUCCAUCAAGCAGCCUAUAUAUAAUUUUUAAAAAAUAGUUUCCAUGUUUGGUAGCCAUCAUAUAACACAGGAGUCGAUAAUAUAGCAUUUGGAGCACCAUUUAAUAGUUUUAACUCAAUAUAUUCCAUGUAGGAGUUGUGAAUGUUUACAAUAUCUAAUUAGAUAUCUAAGAUUUAUCUGGUCAAAUGACAGAAUAUCCAUGUCUGCUUUGAGAAUUUACUUGAGGGGAGUGAUGGAAGGCAGAAUUUAUUGGCACUGUAUGCAUGAACAACAUAUCCAAAUUAGAUCACCAACAUGCUCUCUCUUAGAUAACCAUUGCAGGAGGGUAUAAUUAUCUGUUUAACAACCCAUACAAAAGAUAAAUACUAAUACAUGAAAGUGGAGAACUUAAGUUUCGGAGGUCUAGUAUGUAGGAAAAGCCAGACACUUCAAGGCCAUUUUGAAAAAUAAGUUAGUCUGCAUCAUGCUCGAGCCCUGAUGCCUGAUGGAGAUAGUUCAGUAUUCGUUUUCAAUAGUCCAUUUGUUCUUCUUCUUUUCAUGCAUCAUUUUUUUUAAUCCGUACUACCAGAUUCUAAAUGCUUGAAAGUUUAAUGGUGUUCUGCUUUUAUCAACUACAGUCCUAGAUUUCUCUGAAACUUGGGAUUUGAAGCUGACUCCGUAAGUAUCAAGGGCAUCGGAACCAUGUUCUGAGACCGAAGAUAUUAGCAGUUUCUUUGGUGAUUAUAAUUUUUUUUGUAUGUGGAUCAAUAUGGCAGUCAUAUAUCUCAUACAGGAUCUCAAAAUGAUGGUGACGUUGCAUGUUUUCGACGACCAUGCAAAUUUUUGAAAUGCAUCCAUUUAUAAUUCAUUUGAAUUUCUGGAAUUUCUUCUCACCUUCCAGUUUUUUUCUUUUUUGGUGAAUCACUAAAUAUAAUUGCUUAAUAUGUGUGAAAACUGACGACUGACAGCAAACUAUGACCUCGUUCUUGCAUGCAGUUCGAUAUUUCAAUACAUAAAAAUAAAUAAAUAAAUAAAUAAAAUGAUGCUUGUGGCCGUGUAUAUAGUUUUUUUUUGAAUAAUUCAUACAAUUUUAGUAUAGAUACAUCUAAUAAAAGUCAAAAAUAACAAAUCUUGAAGUGCUUUUGGCAUCGGCCCCUCUUCAACCAACGGAGCUUUUUCGGAGUAGUCAGCCAUAUAAGAGGCCGCCCAACGGAAAGAACAACACAUAGUUUCUUUGGCCUACCCAGACUGGGAUGUUUGAGAACAAAAUAAUUAGAACAAGUUUUGGGAUAUUUGGAUCCAGGUUUGGACUAAAAGAUGCAGGAUGUCACAUCCCAAUUCUUGCUAACAAUUCUAUUACACCUCUCUCUCUCUCUCAUGCAGGCACUAUUAGCUUUAUUUUUCUUUAUUUUGAAAGAGAUUGCAGCCCCUUCGCUAGUUCCUAACUUGCUUUUUGGAUGACUGGAUUUUCCCUAGCGCUAGACUGGUAAAGGAUAUCUAAGCAUUUAACCCUGGUUGCAGGAUGUCAACAAGAAUUAAGAAUAUGAUAAAGACUUGUUGUAGGUCCAAAAAAUUGGAACUUUACAUGCAAACAAUUAGGUCUCUGAAAAGAUAUGGGUCAGCUCAGAAGUUUCCAUUUUGACAUUCAACAUGAUGUAGACGAGGAUAAACCAUGAUUGAUUUAAUCAUGCAUUUGCUGCAAACUCUAGCAGCAUGGACAAUCUUCUUCUUCCUCUUUGUUCUUUUCCCUUUUCCUUUUUCCUUUCUUUUUUUUGUCCUUGGAAUCUGGCAUGAACUUCUAGCUAUAUCACAUGAUCUAGCUUAUUGACUACCAUUGCAGGUGGAAACUUCUUCUUCACCAAGGUUUUGAAAAACAAAGCCAUGAAAUUUGUUGCACUUACCUUCCAAAGUUCAAGCAGACUCGUCUGGUGUAACGACAGUUUUAUCAUAUCGAAUCUGUUUGAGAGGAAUAGAAUCAAAAGUAUUUGCCUUCUAGAAGAAAGCUGACUCCCAAAUAAACUGAGAGUUCAUAGGCCAACUGAUCAAUAUAUCUAAAAUACAAAAUCUUGAAUGAAGAUCCCUGCAAUCUAAUCCAAAAUCCUACAAGUUGCAGUUGGAGGCGGCAACGCAUGCCACAAGUUUCCCCACUGCAGAACAAAAGCAUCCAAUCCUAUAAUUUUAGAAUAAUCUGGAGCCACACAUAGCAGAUUUUGGAGCCCACACCAAAAUCUCCACGCAUGAUUCAAGGUUAGUGGGGUUGAUAAUUACCAUAUAACAUAGAUUAGUGAGGAUAAGAUCUCAAGAGAUAUGUGGCUCGCGCGCAGAUGUCCACAACUGGGUCAGUGGAGCGCAUCAAGAUACACAGAGCACCGAAAGCAGGAGGUGAUUUUAGGAGGAAAAACUCAGUGAACCACUCGUACGGACUGUACUUGGAAACUUUCUACAGAUGUUUUCUAUUUGGCCCAUGUAAAGCUUUUCAUAUAUGGUGGCUUUUCUACCGUUAUUUUCAUAUAAAAAUAUAAUAUAAUUAACUUAUUAAUCAAAAUUCACUGUCUCGGUAUCGAAUUUCAUUAUAGUGCCACACUAACAUAGCAUCGAUACGGUUCGGUAUGGAGUUAUUUUGGUAUACCGAGUAUCGGUAUAUCACCUAUAUCGGAUACCGGUACCAAACUGAUACGAUACGGUGAAGCUUGUAUUGUCUAUUCGCCCGUUUCGGACUAGUACAACAUAUCUUGCUAUCAAUAGAUUGCGAUGUGGAGCACCCAUAUGAUAUGGCUAGCACCUGAAGCCAGAUGCAGAUACUGGAAAGAAUAAAUCUAGCUGAAUUUUCAGAUAUAUGACUCCAAAUGCAAUUGUUGUGGCACUUCAUUACUUGUUAAUGUAGAUCAGCCAAUGGAGACAAGAGAAGCACCAAGUUGAGCAUAGAAGGUUUGGCAUCUAAUAGGCCAUUUCCUCUGACAAAGUGAAAAUUUGUGGAUUCAUAACCAUAUAUAAUUAUCAAAUCUUGUCAGUUAAUUGGGAUCAACUUUAGCAACUUUCGUCUAGGAUUGUGAUCUUAGUAUUCCAGUUAAUUGGGCCAAAAAGAUAUCAAGCUCGAUACGCCAGUUUGCCAAAGUUUUCCCCACUUUCCAACUCGAAUCCAGAAAGGAUUCUCGUUGGAAGGACCCUAGCUACCAACCCUAUGAGGACACGUGUGCCUUCGUGAGAUUCAUCCGUGACACACGGCACCGUCUCUUGCGUUAAAAGUGGUGGAGGGCCCUUGAGUACUAUGACAGCGUUUGUAGUGCGUUCAAGAAUUUGUGCUUUUCCGAGGCUGAUCCCCUUAAGAUACGCUGUUCCCAACCCUUGUCAUUCUUUUACAAACUCACAAUAGGGUUCAAAGAAUUCAAAAUUAGAUCAAAUUCGUUGGAAUCAUUGAUGGCAAAUAGAUGUAAGUAUGAAUAUAUGAACACUUGAUCUCUGCACAAAUAUAUCCUAACUAGAUUGUAGAGACAAGUUCUGAUAGUAUUAUUAUGAUCAUGGGUAUAUAUGAAUACAUGGACUUGCACAGCACCUACAAUUAAUAUUACUUGUGUUCUUGCUUGGUUAGCUAAAUAUCAUAUUUCAUUUUUUUCCAGCAUCACUAUAUUAAAAAGAAAGAAGAAAAUAUAAAAACUAUCAUGAUGAGCAAUGCUAAAACUUCCAUGAAGGGGCCUUUCAAGAUAAGUAUGUAUUCCGUGAAGCCAAUGAAGCUGCGGAUUGGAUGGCUGCUUAUGUAGCUAGUCAUUUCGGUAGACCCGUUGGGCUGGUGAUGAGGAGUUACCCCGGACACUCCGAGGUACUCUAUUUUUUGAUAUUAUUGGGUGCAUCUAUACUCGUCAAAAUAUGUUCCUUCCGUCUAAGCAAAAAACAAAAAUCCAUGUUACUGUAAUUUUUUAAAAAAUAAAUUGUUUAACCUUUUGACUGAGAUCUAAAUUGUUUAAAUGUUUGGCUGAUAGAAAGGACCUAUGAUUUUUUUUUUCGGUUAAGGGAGUGUACCAAAGGCUUUAAGAAUUGAUGAAAAUAGAAAAAUAAUUAAAAUUACCAAUAAAACAUCUCCAUCUCACAGAUUCUGGUGCUUAAACUUUGGACAAGUAUACUAAGAAGCCACAAAUGAAAUGCACAUGUGGUAUACUUUUCAUUUAAAUAAAUAAAAAAGCAUAAUUUUGAUGUUCCUAGCUUUGUAAAGGAUGGCAUAGGUACCCCUGAAGGUACAAGUUACCCAUCCACCAUAAACUAAUCCAAAAGCUGAGCCACCUUUAUCAAUCCCCUCCAUAUAUAUAUAUAUAUAUAUACACUACCCCUUUUGAAGAAGCCCACCGGAACUGAAGUCCUACAACCAUGUCUUCUACCUCCUCCACUUCUCCGGCCAUCGUCCAUUCUGUAAUUAGAGACUUCUACUAUAGAAGGCUUCUACUCCACACUCCCCUCUAUAAACAACCCACUCAACUAAACCCAUCAUGGACCGGCCUGGGCGGUUCUGAGCCGGAUUCCGGCAGACCGGUGAGUAGCUUAGAUGCCAACGUCGUCAUGAUCCUCGCCGUCCUCCUAUGUGCUUUAAUAUGUGCGCUAGGACUCAAUUCCAUCGUCCGGUGCGCACUCCGGUGCUCGAACCCGAUGGCGGUCGAGCCCGAGACCGACCCGGUGGCCCUCCGGUUCGCCCAGACCGGGAAAAGGAGGAAGGCCCUCCGAGACCUGCCCACCCUGGUCUACUCGGCCGGGCUCAAGCUCGAUGGGGCUAACACAGAGUGUGCCAUCUGUCUCUCGGAUUUCGUGCCUGGGGAAAGGGUCCGGUUCCUGCCCAAGUGCAACCAUGGGUUCCAUGUUAGGUGCGUCGACCGGUGGCUCAUCGCACGGUCGUCGUGCCCGACCUGCCGGCAAUGUUUGUUUUGUUCGAACCCGAAGACCUCCGAUUGCGCCGAGGUGAAUCAGCCCGGCCGAGCACCGGUUCAGGAAGUCCUAGUGCCGUUGGAACCAGAAGGUUUGAUUACUAGUUAUUAAUCUUAGCAAGGGAUUGUUAGUUGGAUUUUAUAUAAAUAUAUUGGGCAAAACAGGGCUGUUGACGACUUGAAUUCACUUCAGAGUUCCAAAUGUAUGUAAGCCGUAUAUACUGAGCAGCUGAAAAGUUUUGAGUGUAUGUACAGUAAAAGAAUAUAUAUAAAGAGAAGAGUGCUGUGCUUACUUUUUUAAUGAUUUGCAGCUUGGGGUCCUUUUCUAUACUGUGUGUUGUUUUUCCAUCUUAAUGCGUUUUAAAUAUACUUGGAAAGUAAAUGUAGGUGGACUUCGAUCUUUCAGCAUCAUGUUUCUAUACUUGACUGCAUUGGAUGUGCAUCAGAAAUAUAACAUCAGACUGCAAUUUAGCAGCCAGCUACAUUAUCUUCACUCAGAGGAUGUUAAGAUUUACAGGUUAAACAAAUGAAGAUCAAACUGAAAGCUCUUCUUAGCAACAAGGAUAUUGCUACACUUAGUAGCAUGAUUUCCUAUCUAAUUAGCUGCCAUCAACACGAGAAAUUUUGGUAUCGCAAAGCCUAUGAGUGUUGCGAAAUUCAAGAAUGAUGCUCCAUUGGCACUAACUUCUCCAUGACAAAUCCUUCUGCGUAAUGCCUUUCAGCAUCAAAAGAGCAAAAGUUCUUGGCCCCUACAAAGUCUCACAGCAUAAUGUAGUACUAGCUGUCAAAUAAGAGUGGGAACAAAGAGAAAUUAACUGAGGGUCAUUUAAGCCUAUGAAGUUAGAGAUGAAUGGAAAUCUGAAGUGAAGCCCACUAAGCUCCUAGGAGUAUCCAAGCCUCAAAACGGCAGGUUGGAUCACUUACGCCAAAGCGUAUCUUCAGCAGAUUGUCUCAAUCUUUCCUUCCUACGUGGCAGUCUCCAUCGCUGCCACCUUUCCUAUAGUGGAUGCCACUAGCUGGAGUAGUCGGGGACAACAAGAGAAGGACCCUCAGCCAACCUUGACAAACUUGAGUUGAAGAAUGACACAGCACCGCGUUCCAUGCUGGCUCAGAUCUCAUAAAUUAAUGCUGUUUUAACUUUCUUUUUUUCUUUUCAUACCUUUUAUUUCUAAAGCAAAAAAGGUAUGUUUUUUUAUUUGUUUGUUUGCUUAGGCAGCUUGUAGCAUCAGCCUGAAGCACAGAAUUCCAUAUAACAUAAACCUGAGUGGUUAGCCAUAUAAGAGGUCAUCCAGUCAGCUGUCCUGUUAUCUCUCAGCAGAUAUGAACUACCUCAAAAUAUCUCCCAGUCGAAAUAACUCUCAUCAUAUCCUUAGAGUUAGAGAUAGAGAGAGGGAGGGAGAGAUAGAGAGAGAGAGGGAACCUGGACUGCCUCAAAGUAUCUCGAGAGUGGAAAUAACCCUCAUCAUAUCCUUCGAGAUAGGGUGAGAGGGUACCGGGACGCAGGAUGGCACUCUAGUCACCCACCCAAUGACAGUCCUUGGAAAAGGUAUGCUUUGCAUCAUUUGAAAUUGAUUCAAUUUCAUAACGCAUAUGCCUGACUGAAAGAAGAGGAUACGAGGAGGCUCCAGGAGACCCAAAUGAUCUCAGGAUUCAUGCCAUGCAGGCGACAGGAUAAGGUUUCAUCACCAUCCAAAAGCAUGUAGGCGAGACAAGGUUUUAGCAUUAUGGGGAUCCUCCCUGAAGUAGUGCUGUCCCAGCCAAUUUUGUGGAUAAGAAAAAUUCAGUGGCAUGAGCAAUUACUCGUGAAGGCCUGCACCUGGCAUUCUAGCAUCGAAUGUGAAUUUUGCUCCUCAUCUUUCAGUUCCUGCAGGAGAUAUAAUGGAUAACCAACUGUUGGCCUUGCAAUUAAUCUUUCUAUUGCAAUUCAUCUCCAUAGACUUAUUUCGAACCAGAGUUGGUAUUGCUUAAUUCAUCAAUCAAAGUGCAAGCAUGUCCAGAUCCGCAUCAAGGUAAACACAGGCAUAACUAUCAAAUUAGCAAGCUAGGAAUUUCAACCUUCCAAUUUGAGGUGCAUUUGAUGCCGCCUGUAACACUCCCAUAAUCUUAGAAGAAGCUCAGGUUAAGUUUUGUUUGGUUGCUUGAGAGGAAAGUGGAAACCAAAAUGGACAAAGAGUGAGGCUGCUGACAUUCACACAAUCCACACCUAUUCUGUAUAUCAUCAUAUCUCAUACGAAAAUUAGUAAGUCCAUUUCGUCACGCCUGCUUUACGAAUCCUGCCUCCACGAGAUGGGGAUUAAUGAAGUUUCAAAUAGAGAAGCUUGUGUGCAGGCUGAAGAUUUCCAAAUGAACACAAUUCUUGGGAAUUUUUUGUUGUAGAUAAUGCCUUUUGAAGGUAAGCAUAACACACCGACGCAUACAUCCACAACAAACAGAGUGACCGCCAAUGACAGUAAAAAUUGACAUCCAAGCAGUUUAAUAUAGAUGCCAUCGUAACAAUUGACCGACAAAUAACCUCUUGAGGAAAAAAAUUUUGAGCAAGAAAAAACCAUACAAACAUGCAUAGUUCAGGCAUGCAGUGGCCAAGAGAGAUUUAUUAGGGGUUGAUGAAUAAAUAAGAAGCACAAAUUA